rnacentral:rRNA from 1 species
UACGGAGGGAGCUAGCGUUGUUCGGAAUUACUGGGCGUAAAGCGCGCGUAGGCGGCUUUGUAAGUUAGAGGUGAAAGCCCGGGGCUCAACCCCGGAACUGCCUUUAAGACUGCAUCGCUUGAAUCCGGGAGAGGUGAGUGGAAUUCCGAGUGUAGAGGUGAAAUUCGUAGAUAUUCGGAAGAACACCAGUGGCGAAGGCGGCUCACUGGACCGGCAUUGACGCUGAUGUGCGAAAGCGUGGGGCGCAAACAGG